UACAGAGGUGGCAAGCGUUGUUCGGAAUUACUGGGCGUAAAGGGCGAGUAGGCGGCCUUCUAAGUCAGACGUGAAAUCCCCUGGCUUAACCUGGGAACUGCGUCUGAUACUGGGAGGCUCGAGUAUGGGAGAGGGAUGUAGAAUUCCAGGUGUAGCGGUGAAAUGCGUAGAUAUCUGGAGGAAUACCGGUGGCGAAGGCGGCAUCCUGGACCAUUACUGACGCUGAAUCGCGAAAGCUAGGGGAGCAAACGGG
rnacentral:rRNA from 1 species